UACGUAGGGUGCGAGCGUUAAUCGGAAUUACUGGGCGUAAAGCGUGCGCAGGCGGUUUUGUAAGUCAGAUGUGAAAUCCCCCGAGCUCAACUUGGGAACUGCGUUUGAAACUACAAAGACUAGAAUAUGUCAGAGGGGGGUAGGAAUUCCACGUGUAGCAGUGAAAAUGCGUAGAGAUGUGGGAGGAAUACCAAAUGGCGAA
rnacentral:rRNA from 1 species